GAUGAACGCUGGCGGCGUGCCUAAUACAUGCAAGUCGAGCGAACAGACGAGGAGCUUGCUCCUCUGACGUUAGCGGCGGACGGGUGAGUAACACGUGGAUAACCUACCUAUAAGACUGGGAUAACUUCGGGAAACCGGAGCUAAUACCGGAUAAUAUAUUGAACCGCAUGGUUCAAUAGUGAAAGACGGUUUUGCUGUCACUUAUAGAUGGAUCCGCGCCGCAUUAGCUAGUUUGUAAGGUAACGGCUUACCAAGGCAACGAUGCGUAGCCGACCUGAGAGGGUGAUCGGCCACACUGGAACUGAGACACGGUCCAGACUCCUACGGGAGGCAGCAGUAGGGAAUCUUCCGCAAUGGGCGAAAGCUUGACGGAGCAACGCCGCGUGAGUGAUGAAGGUCUUCGGAUCGUAAAACUCUGUUAUUAGGGAAGAACAAAUGUGUAAGUAACUAUGCACGUCUUGACGGUACCUAAUCAGAAAGCCACGGCUAACUACGUG
rnacentral:rRNA from 1 species